CCUCAUUUAUGCAUUUGUUUAUUGUGUAAUGCUCAUUUUAAGUCCGGGUUAUUCUUUUCCAGAGGCUAUAAUUAAGUGGCAGAGGAGUCUGAGGUGCCAUGCAGGGAAGAGUUUAACCUUCCUACGUUUGUCCAGAAGUACAAGAAGCUCCGGAAUAAUGAGUUUAAUCUUCCCACUUUUCUCUAGAAGUACAAGAAGCUCCACUGGCACUUGUUUGUCUUGCUGCGAAGAUAUCUGAUUUCCAAAUUCAACUUGUUAAAAAUAAAAAUGUUGUCAUUCACAAUUCACAUACAAUACCACCUUAUAUGGUUUUGCCUAAUUUUUCCUAUUCUUUCUCUACCACGUUGUUGAAGUCCAUCAUCAGUGUCUGCACAGUUCAUUACCUCACUGUGUCAAAUUAUGAUUCAUCCUACAAUCAAGUAGGAAGUAGGGUGUACUAAGCAGGUGGCAACAUAUGUGUAUAUGUUUUGUUUGAUUCAUAUUGUUGGUCCGAAAAGUGGGGGACAUUUGUAUUCAGUGGACCUGAUGAUGCAUCAUGUAGUCUUCAUCACUUCACAUGCCCCUACAUUCGAUUGAUUUCCAUAUGAUCUGACUACAAGCAUUGAACCCAUGAAUGGUGUUUACAGCUGAAGGGCAGAAGAAUGAGCUACCAUAGAGGCAUGAAGUGCUUGAAAAUAUUACUUUCAUGAAGUUCCUGGAACGGGACUCUGGAAUGUGUUUCAGAGAUGGAAUUUUCUCCUCUGCGUCCCCUUCUACAGUCGGUGUAAGCAGAGGCCCACACAAGACGAGACAAAAUAAUGGAAGAGGAAAAAGAGUGAUUGCCGACGCGUCUCUGACACGCUUAUGCUGGAAAAUGCAUGUACUGCAACGCGUUUGACAGGUUGGAGGUACUUCCUGCCACCCUAGACAUCAAACCACACCGUUCUGCAUCUUUAAUAUUGCAACACAUUGAAUUAUUUCAUUAUGCAGAUGAAAAUGGCAAAUGAAUAGUACACUUCCACCACCAUUGCAAUCUCCACCAUCAUAUGUCCCCUUUGGGCUACUCAAACAAAGGAAGAAUACCAGACUCUUCCACCUUAACCAGGAAGAGAAACAUUUAUCUUCUACCAACACAACUACA